GACGGGGGAUGCAAGUGUUAUCCGGAAUCACUGGGCAUAAAGCGUCUGCAGGUGGUUUCCUAAGUCCACUGUUAAACCUUGAGGCUCAACCUCAAAUCUGCAUUGGAAACUAGGAGACUUGAGUAUAGUAGGGGUAGAGGGAAUUUCCAGUGGAGCGGUGAAAUGCGUAGAUAUUGGAAAGAACACCGAUGGCGAAGGCACUCUACUGGGCUAUUACUGACACUCAGAGACGAAAGCUAGGGGAGCAAAUGGG
rnacentral:rRNA from 1 species